UACAGGGCGCAGCAGUGGGGAAUUUUUGGACAAUGGAAGCCUGAUCAGCAUAACGUGUGCGAUGAAGGCCUUCGGGUUGUCAAAACACUUUUGGCGGAAAAAACGUGCGGAUGUGCCAUUGCAGCCAAAUAAUUACCUGCGGAGAAUGGCUUCCAGCUAACAGUGCCAGCAGCCGCGGUAAUGGCGGGUGCAAGCGUUAAUCAGAUUACUGGGCGUAAAGCGUGCGCGAACGGUUCGGAAAGAAAGAUGUGAAAUCCCAGGCUUAACUUUGGAACUGCAUUUUUAACUACCGAGCUAGAGUGUGUCAGAGGGAGGUGGAAUUCCGCGAUAGCAGUGAAAUGCGUAGAUAUGCGGAGGAACACACCGAUGGCGAAGGCAGCCUCCUGGGAUAACACUGACGCUCAUGCACGAAAGCGUGGGAGCAAACAGGAUUAGAUACCCGUGUAGU
rnacentral:misc_RNA from 1 species